rnacentral:tRNA from 1 species
GGGCUCGUGGUUUAGUGGUAUAAUACUCCCUUAGCAUAGCAUGUAUGGGAGUGGUCCGGGGUUCGAUUCCCCGCGAGUCCA